UACGAAGGAGGCAAGCGUUGUUCGGAUUUACUGGGCGUAAAGGAUGCGUAGGCUGAUUUUUAAGUGGGAUGUGAAAUUCCGAGGCUCACCCUCGGCGCUGCAUUCCAAACUGGAAGUCUAGAGUGCGGGAGAGGAAAGUGGAAUUCCUAGUGUAGCGGUGAAAUGCGUAGAGAUUAGGAAGAACACCAGUGGCGAAGGCGACUUUCUGGACCGUAACUGACGCUGAUGCAUGAAAGCGUGGGAAGCAAACAGG
rnacentral:rRNA from 1 species